AUGCCUUGCUGUUCCGUCGCCAGGAACUAUUGCCCGUGAACUGUUGCCCUCUGCCAUGUGCCAUUCUGCCUCGGAACCAGCGAUGGACUGAAACCUCCACAAACUGCAUCAGCAAUGAACCCGCUCCGUUCUGCUAAAACAGAAGCUCCAGAACAAAGACCCUUCAUGACAGGGGCCAUCAGACCCAAGCUACCAGCUGUCCUUGGGCAAAGAAAAGAAAUCCUCCCAUGGAGCCAGAAAGGAAAACCGCAUGAUGGAAAAAACAAGGGAGCAAGAUCAAAGAAAAUCAGAAGUAUAAGUCAGUUCACUCCUGAAACAUGCUUUCGAGGAAUGUUGUUAAAAUGCCAGCAAACCAAAGAAAAGCCAUCACAUAAAGUUCUUACUUUUGCGGUACCAGUCUGGGAACCGUAGAAAAUCUUCACUCCAGAUACAAAGAUUGGCUUCUUUUGAAGGGAGAUAAAACCAUUUGGCAUCAAAUCCUGAGUUGCUUUCGGAACAGACUUGUCCUGGGAGUUCUUGGCCUUGAAAAUAAACAACUGCACAAAAAUC